CCUGGUUGAUCCUGCCAGUAGUCAUAUGCUUGUCUCAAAGACUAAGCCAUGCAUGUCUAAGUUUAAGCGAUUUAAACGGUGAGACUGCGGACGGCUCAUUAUAUCAGUUAUAGUUUAUUUGAUGGUCGAUUACUACAAGGAUAACCGUAGGAAUUCUAGAGCUAAUACUUGCACUUCAAACUGAUUUUUCAGUUGCACUUAUUAGAUUUACCACCAAUGCUCUUCGGAGCUUCGGUGAUUCAUAGUAAUUUAGCGGAUCGCUACGGCUUCGGCCGCGACGCUUCAUUCAAAUUUCUGCCCUAUCAGCUUUCGAUGGUAGUGUAUUGGACUACCAUGGCUUUGACGGGUAACGGAGAAUUAGGGUUCGAUUCCGGAGAGGGAGCCUGAGAAACGGCUACCACAUCUAAGGAAGGCAGCAGGCGCGCAAAUUACCCAAUCCCAACGCGGGGAGGUAGUGACAAGAAAUAACAACAACUAACCUAUUUCAGGUGAGUUGAUUGGAAUGAGUACAAUCUAAACACCUUAACGACUAUCCAUUGGAGGGCAAGCCUGGUGCCAGCAGCCGCGGUAAUUCCAGCUCCAAUAGCGUAUACUAAUGUUGUUGCAGUUAAAAAGCUCGUAGUCGGAUUUCAGUAGGCUCAGUUAAGUCUCUUCUAUUGAGUUCUUUAUGGGCCUGCUUCUUUGACAGAAACUUCUAUGUUAUUCAUUUAGCGUGGGUAGCGACUGUCUCUUUUACUUUGAGAAAAUUAGAGUGUUCAAAGCAGGUAUUCGCCUGAAUAUUACUCUUGGAAUAAUGCUAUAAGACUUUGGUUCUAAUGUAUUGGUGAUUGGGACCAGAGUAAUGAUUGAUAGGGACGGUUGGGGUCUUACGUACUGCAAAGCGAGAGGUGAAAUUCUUGGACCUUUGUAUGACGAACAACUGCGAAAGCAUUGGACUAGGACGUUCCCGUUGAUCAAGAACGAAAGUUGGGGGAUCGAAGACGAUCAGAUACCGUCGUAGUCUCAACCAUAAACUAUGCCAGCUAGGGAUCGGAGGACGUUACAUGUUCGACUCCUUCGGCACCUUAUGAGAAAUCAAAGCAUUUGGGUUCCGGGGGGAGUAUGGUCGCAAGGCUGAAACUUAAAGGAAUUGACGGA
rnacentral:rRNA from 1 species